rnacentral:rRNA from 1 species
UACGUAGGGUGCGAGCGUUAAUCGGAAUUACUGGGCGUAAAGCGUGCGCAGGCGGUUCGUUGUGUCGGCGGUGAAAGCCCCGGGCUCAACCUGGGAAUGGCCGUUGAAACUGGCGAACUGGAGUGUGGCAGAGGGGGGUGGAAUUCCGCGUGUAGCAGUGAAAUGCGUAGAGAUGCGGAGGAACACCGAUGGCGAAGGCAGCCCCCCUGGGCUGAGACUGACAGGCUCACUGAGGUACGGAAAGCGUGGGGAGCAAACAGG